rnacentral:rRNA from 1 species
CUUGGGUUGUAAACCUCUUUUCUCAAGGAAGAACACAAUGACGGUACUUGAGGAAUAAGCAUCGGCUAACUCCGUGCCAGCAGCCGCGGUAAUACGGAGGAUGCAAGCGUUAUCCGGAAUGAUUGGGCGUAAAGCGUCCGCAGGUGGCUAUGUAAGUCUGCUGUUAAAUAGUGAGGCUCAACCUCAUAAAGGCAGUGGAAACUACAUGGCUAGAGUGCGUUCGGGGCAGAGGGAAUUCCUGGUGUAGCGGUGAAAUGCGUAGAGAUCAGGAAGAACACCGGUGGCGAAAGCGCUCUGCUAGGCCGCAACUGACACUGAGGGACGAAAGCUAGGGG